rnacentral:rRNA from 1 species
AGUGAACGCUGGCGGUAGGCCUAACACAUGCAAGUCGAACGGCAGCACAGUAAGAGCUUGCUCUUACGGGUGGCGAGUGGCGGACGGGUGAGGAAUACAUCGGAAUCUACUUUUUCGCGGGGGAUAACGUAGGGAAACUUACGCUAAUACCGCAUACGACCUACGGGUGAAAGCAGGGGAUCUUCGGACCUUGCGCGAUUGAAUGAGCCGAUGUCGGAUUAGCUAGUUGGCGGGGUAGGGGCCCACCAAGGCGACGAUCCGUAGCUGGUCUGAGAGGAUGAUCAGCCACACUGGAACUGAGACACGGUCCAGACUCCUACGGGAGGCAGCAGUGGGGAAUAUUGGACAAUGGGCGCAAGCCUGAUCCAGCCAUACCGCGUGGGUGAAGAAGGCCUUCGGGUUGUAAAGCCCUUUUGUUGGGAAAGAAAAGCAGCAGGUUAAUACCCCGCUGUUCUGACGGUACCCAAAGAAUAAGCACCGGCUAACUUCGUG